GCGGAAUACAGCCCAAACAUAGCCCGAUACCGGGGUGUCACAAGUCACAAGCAUCUACUAGGGUCUAAAUACAACUGAAAAUUUUGAAAUGUACAAAAUACAGACUAAUAAAAUGGAGAGGUAGAAAAGCAGUGUUGCGAACGCCGGCAUCUACCUUGCUAAACUCCGAUGACUCUGCCUCCGAUCAACUAAUACCCGCUACCGGGUUCAGAAGUACCUGAAUCUGCACAUAAGGUGCAGGGAGUAAAGUGAGUACUCCAUCUCAGUGAGUAAUAAUCAUAACUAAAUUCUGAAUGGUAAGAAAUCACGUAGAUCAUAUCAAGAUGUUUUAUAGAAGCCGUUCAAAAACCAGUAAGAAAGCAAUGAAGCUUUAAAAUCUCUUAAAACAUCUUAGCUCAGUUUAAACUUCUUUGAAAAUUACUUUUUCAAAAGUUUUGCAAAUGAAUGCAAUGCAAUUAGUGCAGAUAAGCACAGAAAUCCGCCCCUCGGGCACAAAUACACAAUUAAACAGGUAAAUGACAGACAAAUAAGAAAGAAAAGCACAUAAGGUUCUCCCCUCGGGCACAAUAUCCACAAAUCCGUCCCUCGGGCAAUGUCUCAGAACAAUACCAGCCCCUCGGGCAAUCACAUAGAACAUUACUAGCCCCUCGGGCUAUAUCUCACAACACAAUGGGUACCCGCGUUCACUGGGGUGUGCAGACUUCGGGAGGGGCCCCUUAGGACCCAAGCGCAAUAUCUAGCCAUCUCAUGGCAUCAUAAACAUGCUCUCGGCCUCAUAUCAAUAUCAAGCCACCUCGUGGCAUACAUAUCUCAGGCCCUCGGCCUCAUUAUCAUAACCAGUAUCUCAUUGCUACGUCGUGCAGCCCGACCCAAAUGUAUCCUCACAAUACAGGCCCUCGGCCUUACUCAUUCGAAAAUCACAUAAGCCACUCGGGCAACAGUAAAACAUGACGCUCAGCCCAUAAUAUUAUUCAAAAUAUCAUUUAAGUAUUAAAACUGAGUAAACAUGGCUGAGUUUUGAAAACCGUGGAAAAAUCACAUGACUGAGUUCAAGUAUAAAGUCAAAAUAGUGAGGAUAGCAGAUACAUUUCAGUCAAAUAUGCGGUAAAAUAGUCAAUCGUGAUGGACUAAAUGACAAUCCCCAAUAGUUCACAACCCCACGCUCAUCAUCUAGCGUGUUCCUCACCUCAAUAUAGCACUACGAUGUGCAAAUCCGGGGUUUCGAACCCUCAAAACAUCAUUUACAAUCAUUAUUCACCUCGAUCCAGUCCAAACUAUAGCUCGCGAUGCCUCGCCCGAAUGAAUCGACCUCUGGAUGCUCCAAAUCUAGCCACAAUCAGUACAUAAUAAUUAUAAUAUGCUAAGGGAACAAAGUUCUCUCGAAAAUAUCCAAUUUAACAUCAAAAUCCCGAAAUUGCUCAAACCCGGCCCUCAAGCCCACAUCUCGGAAUCCAAUAAAAAUCACAUCAAUAGAAUCCUCAUUCACUCACGAGUCUACCCAUAUCAAUUUCAUCAAAAUCCGGCCUUCGUUGCCCAUUCAAAUCCCCAAAAGAAAUCUCAAACUUUUCUUCCAUUUUCCCCCACUUUUCACUCUAAUUUCUCAAAUUAAAUGAUGAAAUUCAAGACCAAAUCAUAGAAUUAACCAAAAUAUGAGUAAGAAUACUUGCCCAAUAGCUCCACUGAAAAUCUCUUCCAAUUCCACCUUCUCCCGAGCUCUCCAAUGGUUUUUAUGAAAUUGGACUUAAACCCUCGAUUUUAAAACAUAAACUGUCUGCCCAGACUUUCCUUCAUCACGAACGCGGCACUUCCCUCGCAUUCGUGAAGCACGCUGCUUCACAGACAGGGUUUUCUUCUAUGCGAACAUGAGACCCAUAUCGCGAAUGCGAUGCCCAACUGCCUCAAUGCUUCACGAUCGUGACACCUACUACUUGAACGCGUAGAACAAAUGCACUGGAGACUCAUCUAUCCUUCUUCCUCUAUGCGAACGCGACCUGCACCUCGCGAAUGCGAUGACCAAAACAUCAAAACAUCGCGAACGCGACAGAGAUAAUGUGAACGCGAAGAACAUCGAUCUCACACUUAACGAUCGCGGAACAUGCUUCGCGAACGCGAAAGUCAAAAACCUGCAACACCAACAGCUGAGAUUCUGCAAUAUUUCACAACAUGAAAUAGUCCGGUUGACCACCCGAAACUCACCCGAGCCCUCGGGACCUCAACCAAACAUGCCAACAUAUCCCAUAACAUUAUUCAAACUUGUUCCAAUCAUAAAAACACCUUCAAUAACAUCAAAUCAUCCAAAACACCUCGGAUUCAAGCCAAACUUUGUAAAAUCUUCCGAAUUACGCUUUUGAUCAAAAACCCAAACAAACCACGUCCGAAUGACCUAAAAUUUUGCGCACACACCCCAAAUGACACAACGAAACUACUGCAACUUCCAGAAUUUCAUUCCGACCUCUAUAUCAAAAUCUCACCUAUCAACCGGAAAACGCUGAAAUCUCAAUUUCACCAAUUCAAGCCUAAACCUUCCACGGACUUCCCAAAAUGCAUUCCAAUCAUGCUCCUAAGUCCCAAAUUACCCAACGGAGCUAACAAAAUCAUAAAAAUUCCGAUCUGAGAUCAUAUACAAAAAAGUCAAAUCUUGGUCAAACCUUUCAAAUUCCAAGCUUCAACUGAGAACUGUUUCUUCCAAAUUCACUCCGAUUACCCUGAAAAUCAAAACCAAUGAUUUACAUAAAUCAUAAUACAUCACACGGGGAAAGUCACGCUCGAGAACUGGCGAGCAAAGUGCAAAAGCUCAAAACGACCAGUCGGGUCGUUACAUAUGCUCUAACUCCGGUAAGUAGACCCACACCUAUAUAAAAAAAUUAAGACCAAAUAAAGUUAAAGACCUAGAACAUUAUGUAAGACAAUAACACUCCCUGUUGGAUGCAUGCAAGACAUGAUUGAGGUUAUUUUUGCAAAAUGACUUAUGUUCCAAAAGGUGGCUAGAAGUGCAAAAUUUGGCUAAGACCCCGCGAAGCCAAGAACCUAAGACUCACUAGGAAGACCGGACCCUAUGUGGGUUUCCUAAGUAUCCCGCCCCGAGAGAUGAGAAUCAGGUUUACGUAGUUCGGGCAAAUCGGAUACGGGCGAGAAUUAAAAAAAACUAAUUUAGAUAAAAAAAAUUGCCUUUUUUAAAAAAAAAUAAUGAAACUUGUAAACUCUUUUUGGAUAUUUUUUUCUUUGAAAAAAAAUGAUGGGGUAAUUGCAAAAUCUUUUUGGAUUAUUUCAUUUUUGUUUUGGUCUUUUCUUGAAAAAAUGUGAAAGAAAAUUAUAAUUGGGCCCUACUUUCUUUAUUUUUCACGCUUCACCCUCUCUUUUUUUCUUUUUCAUUUGCCUUCAACAAUCAUUGGUUUUCCAAAUGACCCUUUUACCCUUAAAUAAAAUGCAACAUGUAGCACAUAGGAUGCAACAAGAUUGUCUGUUAUUUUGGGUACACCUUUCCUAGACGGACCCAACCCCUAUGUUGAGUCACCAAAGUCAAGUGCACAUGAUGCAAACAAACGUUCCUACUAGUGAUUCAGCAUGAGAUUAUGUUAUUCUAAGUUUAAACCUUGGGUUGUGUUCUUGACCUAGCUUACCCGAGCAGACAACUUGAGCUGAAGAGGGGGCAACGUACCGGGAGCACUAAAGUCUACCCGACCUUGUUGCUGGCCCAGCCUCGUUCUAUUUAGUAUAACUUCUACAGAAAAAGUGGGCCACGCGAACGUGUGCACCAUUUUCAGAUGACUUAGAGGGGUGUAGUUUAAUAAAUUCAAAUAAUAUCAAAGUAGUAAAUAAGCAGCAGUUAGCACAUUAGGUCCAUAAAUACAGUAAUAUGAACAAUAAAUAAAUCUAAAUAAAGAUCACAAAACAAGCUCGAAUUCUUGAAGCCUGAACAAGAAGUUCUGGUUUCUUAUCCCCAACAGAGUCGCCAGAGCUGUCACACCUCCUUUAUCCUACCCCAAAAAAAUAGUAUAAGAGAGUUUUUUCCAAUUUAAGUGACAAUUGAAAUGGGAUUAUUAUUUAAGAUUAGAAUCACCACAUGGGAUAGUUAAUGGUGUCCCAAGUCACCGGUUUAGAAUCUCGAAUCGAGGAAAUUGACUCUUAUUAUAGUCUGCGAACACAGAAAUCCGGGUGCAGAACUCUGUUAACCCGGGAGAAGGUGUUAGGCAUUCCCGAAUUCCGUGGUUUUAGCACGGUCGCUCAACUAUUAUUAUUGGCCUAAUUAUCUGAUCUUUUACACGUUUUAAACCUAUUGUGCAUUUUUAACUUUUUAGCCGCUUUUAAUAUUUCAAGAAAUUUCAAGGUUAUUUAAAACACAUCGUAAAUCACGCUACAUGAAAUGCACCCGUAAUUCGCGACAGGUUCUAUUUAACAUUGUUAGAGAAUAGAAUCGGGUCACAUGAAAUGUACACCCGAAUUUUAGUAAUUACAAAUCACAACUACGUCACGGGAACCAUACCUAUAGCCAUGAUAUUUAUUUAAUUAACGCGCCUAAAACACACUAUGAGAUUCAUUUUUAGUAUCUAAGUUAUAAAAUAUGAGGGCCAUAGGUGGUUUAGUUAUGAAUGGCACACCUCAACUUAUUAAAAGAAAGGAAUUAUAUUCAAAUAAAGCGAAUUAUGGGGUUCAUGCUUAAUCUAAAUCAAAAUUCGGUUUCGCGUUCAUCAAUUCUCGAUUUUACCAUCAGUACUCCAACUGAUUAAGAGUCAAGUCGUUCCAAUUAAAAGAUAUGAUUCUCUGAAUAAACAAUUAAACUUUCUUAUAAAUGAAAUGUUUCCACGGUCAUUAUAUUCAAGCAACUCUGAGGUCAAAAUCAAUAAAUCACACUUCAAUUUAAUACUACGACUUCGUGAACAUGCUGACCCUUUCUUCUGGAAAUUGACAGUGAACUCAGCAUGUCCCAAACCCAGAAUGUAAAACAUCAAAACCAAGCAUUACUUGAGCUUAAGAAAUUUUACAAUAACUUCGGACUCCAAAAUUUGUGGCACAUGAAAGUAAAUGCUAUGUGAUUUAUUUGAACAUCUUGUGAGGAUCUAGUGAGGAAGAAGUAAAUGCUUAGGACUGCCAGUGAUGAUUAACCUUCAAAUAAACUCACAAUUUUUAUCGCCCAUCACACGGGUUUUGAAAAAAAUCACAUGAGGGCCAUAACAUAUCAUCAAAAUCUGGCCAAUUCCAUGUUAGAACAAGAAAUUGAAGACAAUGACUACUAUUUCGACACAUUAGCUAUCAAAUGCAGAUUCACGCAAAAUCAGAGAUCCAAACGUUAAAGUCAAUAAUGUGAACACAACCAAGCUCAUAAAAUGGCACUUCCAAGACCUCAAUUCACCACAACAACAACAACAAAUAAACAAAUAAAUAAGUAAAUAACAGAGGGGAGGGAUGAACCUGAAAACGCAAGUAUUCUCUUAAUAAUUGAAAAUAGAAAAAUCGGCCGCUGCAUUUGAAUCCGAAAUCAACUAAAAUCGGCAACAAGAGUUAAACAGGAAUGCGAAUCGUAACGAACCCGAACGGCGAACACAACUCCAACCUCAAGCAAACCCCAUUGUUUGUCCAAAAAUUUCUCUGUUUUGUUCUUCUUUGGUUGUUCCCCUCUAUUUCGUGUAUAUGUAUGUGUGUGUGGAGUUGAAGAGUGGAUAAGAUGGCAAUAGGAGUGGAUGUUUUUUAUGGUUGUUUGGGGGUGAGUAGCGGCGCUAGGUUACAGGGGUGGUCGCUUGGUGGCGUGAGGACUGAGAAGAAGACCGGCGGGAGGGUGGGUCUUUGUUUGUGCCUUAGCACUGAAGAAGAUCCAGGGCAGGGGUCGUUUGGUGUUCUCUAAGGCUGCGAUUGAAGAUGACGAAGUCAAGGGGGUCCUAAAUUGGUCAAAAUGGCUAAUUCUAUAUGAAU
rnacentral:lncRNA from 1 species